rnacentral:lncRNA from 1 species
AGACAUUACUGUCUUAAUUUACACAGAAAAUCAAAGUCCAUUUUCAAAUGUACACAAAGACCAUAUAAAACACUGUUUGUUAACCGCAUGAGCUCACAUUAAUUGGAACUGGUUCCUCAUGCCUGUAGAAAGCUGUUGGAGGGGUGGAUUUUCUUAUUUGUACCAGGUUUAGGUUUACUGUCGUCACUUAUUUUUUGCACUAUGAUGCCUGCAGCCUUGUUUUUUUCUAUAAUUUCCAGCUCCUCCUUUCUCUUCAGUUUCUCCUUCUGGUUUUUCUGCUGCACGUAAACAUGAGCAUAACUUGCUCCUGUAGAAAACAUUGUUGUAGGAAUUAAUAUUUAUUCUCUGAAAUUGUUAAGUG